UACGGAGGGAGCUAGCGUUGUUCGGAAUUACUGGGCGUAAAGCGCACGUAGGCGGCUAUUCAAGUCGGGGGGUGAAAGCCCGGGGCUCAACCCCGGAACUGCCCUCGAAACUAGAUAGCUAGAAUCUUGGAGAGGUCAGUGGAAUUCCGAGUGUAGAGGUGAAAUUCGUAGAUAUUCGGAAGAACACCAGUGGCGAAGGCGACUGACUGGACAAGUAUUGACGCUGAGGUGCGAAAGCGUGGGGAGCAAACAGG
rnacentral:rRNA from 1 species